ACCUGCCGAUAACUCGGGGAUAGCCUUUCGAAAGAAAGAUUAAUAUCCGAUAGUAUAUUAAAACCGCAUGGUUUUACUAUUAAAGAAUUUCGGUUAUCGAUGGGGAUGCGUUCCAUUAGUUUGUUGGCGGGGUAACGGCCCACCAAGACUACGAUGGAUAGGGGUUCUGAGAGGAAGGUCCCCCACAUUGGAACUGAGACACGGUCCAAACUCCUACGGGAGGCAGCAGUGAGGAAUAUUGGUCAAUGGACGAGAGUCUGAACCAGCCAAGUAGCGUGAAGGAUGACUGCCCUAUGGGUUGUAAACUUCUUUUAUAUGGGAAUAAAAUAUUCCACGUGUGGGAAUUUUGUAUGUACCAUAUGAAUAAGGAUCGGCUAACUCCGUGCCAGCAGCCGCGGUNAAUACGGAGGAUCCGAGCGUUAUCCGGAUUUAUUGGGUUUAAAAGGGAGCGUAGGUGGAUUGUUAAGUCAGUUGUGAAAGUUUGCGGCUCAACCGUAAAAUUGCAGUUGAAACUGGCAGUCUUGAGUACAGUAGAGGUGGGCGGAAUUCGUGGUGUAGCGGUGAAAUGCUUAGAUAUCACGAAGAACUCCGAUUGCGAAGGCAGCUCACUAGACUGCAACUGACACUGAUGCUCGAAAGUGUGGGUAUCAAACAGGAUUAGAUACCCUGGUAGUCCACACAGUAAACGAUGAAUACUCGCUGUUUGCGAUAUACAGUAAGCGGCCAAGCGAAAGCAUUAAGUAUUCCACCUGGGGGAGUACGCCGGCAACGGUGAAACUCAAAGGAAUUGACGGGGGCCCGCACAAGCGGAGGAACAUGUGGUUUAAUUCGAUGAUACGCGAGGAACCUUACCCNGGGCUUAAAUUGCAUUUGAAUAAUCUGGAAACAGGUUAGCCGCAAGGCAAAUGUGAAGGUGCUGCAUGGUUGUCCUCAGCUCGUGCCGUGAGGUGUCGGCUUAAGUGCCAUAACGAGCGCAACCCUUAUCUUUAGUUACUAACAGGUCAUGCUGAGGACUCUAGAGAGACUGCCGUCGUAAGAUGUGAGGAAGGUGGGGAUGACGUCAAAUCAGCACGGCCCUUACGUCCGGGGCUACACACGUGUUACAAUGGGGGGUACAGAAGGCAGCUACCUGGCGACAGGAUGCUAAUCCCAAAAACCUCUCUCAGUUCGGAUCGAAGUCUGCAACCCGACUUCGUGAAGCUGGAUUCGCUAGUAAUCGCGCAUCAGCCAUGGCGCGGUGAAUACGUUCCCGGGCCUUGUACACACCGCCCGUCAAGCCAUGAAAGCCGGGGGUACCUGAAGUACGAACCGCAGGAGCUCCUAGGAAAC
rnacentral:rRNA from 1 species